CAUCAAAUCCUACUCUGGCAACGACCCUCUUCUCGCAUGGCUCCAAUAUGCCUCUCUCUUUCUUUGUGGGUAGCUCUUUUAAUGGUUUUAAAAAGUAAGAUUGUUUGGCAUUUUGUAUAUACAGAGGGAUCAGAAAGAUGAAGGAUUCGCUGCCUUCGCAAGUACUGAACGAGAAGCUGCCACGGUUUUUGCAGAAGUGCGCGCAGACCUUCGAUUCCGAUCGCCGUUACAAAAACGACUUACGGUACCUCCGCGUUUGGUUACAGUUGAGAUGAGGUGGGUUCUUUCUAAAAUCCUUGAUAGCUCUUUCUCUCGCUGUCAAUGGCAGACAAGAAAUUAGGGUUCUUCACUAUAAAAGAAGAGGAUUAUGGAGGCAUAAAGAGAGGGGAGGCACGUACUACUACAGAAAGAAGGAUCACCAAAGAAGAAGAGCCAGUUAUGAGGAGAAGUUUGUUGAUUCUAUGUAGAAGAAAGCUAAGGAGGAAAAAGGUUGAAUUUGCAUCAAAGAGAUUCUUGGUAUUCUUUCGUGGACUUACAGAUUGAUUAAUUUUGAUAGCAACCAGAUUCCAAGAUCCUUCAAAGGCAAUGAUUUUUUAAGAUAUAAUAUUUGGUUCCGGAAAAUUAGCCUGUUUUCUAUUGAAACUAACAGAAUUUGUAUUGCUCUAUUUAUUUAUUUGGUUGGUUGAGAAAUUCUGUUGAUGGGUUUUGUUGGUGAGAAUUUCUACGCUGAAUCUAAAAUUUAAUACUAAAUAUUAAAUUUGAUGUUCACUUCUUACUUUUUUUUUUCUUGUCCUAAUUUCGCUGUCUCAUUGACAGGCUUCAAGCGUAGGAAUGGUGCACACAAUCUUUCAUUAAUAACUAUGCAAGUUUGUAUUAAUUUCAUGUGAUUUUUUUAUUUUUUAUUAUUUUUAUGAUAGUUAGAUAUCUAUUUGCUUAUGAAUGAUAUCAGAUCUGACCCUCACUUAAACAAAACAUAAGGUAUAACAUUCACAAAACUUAACGUAAGGUAUCCUAUGCUUUCUUGCUUUCUGAGAAAAUUUCAUUUCCAUUCCAUGUGUUUGUCACAGGUUUUUGUUUUGUGUGUCUUUGGGUUAAUAAGGCAACAAAACUAAAGUUUUUAAGGCUGUCUGAGACUGUCAACAACAUCACAUAAUGAUGUUGGUCAUUUUGGAGUAGGAAUUUGUCAUGAUAUAUGCUUCUCUAAAGUUGCUACGAUUCCCACUUCAUCUCAUCCUAUUAUAGAUUUGCAUCUCCUCUAUAGGACUCAAAUAUCACAUUGGAUUCUUGCUUAUCACAAGUGUAGACUAUGUUGGUAAGGUAUUGCUUGCGUUGCUGAGCUAAGUUCAUUUUUUGGAGUUCAUGUAAUUGUAUUUUUUUUAAAAACUUCGUCAGUCACAAUUCUGCAUUGUGUGCUAUCCGAACAUUUGAGUUAAAUAGUCAAUAUUAUCUUGGUUUGAGAAAAACCAAGACCUAAUCAGGGUGGCCAAGAGCUUCCUUAGUCUCUGUAUUAUUAGGUGCACCAAGAGCUUUCAUGUCCUUUUAUUUCUAUUUUUGUAGGGAUCACUAUUUUCAUUCUUUAGAUUGUAUUAUGAACUUUCAUUAUUGUUUUAAUCAUUUUCAGGUGUGGAUUUUGAGAUUAAGUUGCUCACAAUUGGUGGGAGAAGAUUGAAGCUUACAAUUUGGGACAUAGGCAACUGCUGGAAUUAUUUUGAAUUAUAGUUUCAUUUUAAUAUUUGAUUAAUGAUGCUUUUGGAAGUGAUAGUUUAUGCUAACAUGUAAUCUUUCUCUUCUUUCAAGUUAGUCAUUGCUUUUGGUGCAUAAAUAGAUUGUAGAGCUAUUAACAAUAGCUGAAAGAUAUGUAUAUUUGAUUUUUAGUUGGGUGAACUUUUGGAUUUUAAUAGAAACAUUUAACCUUCGGAUGUUGAAAAAACAAGAAGGUAAAAUGUUCUGUAAAUUUUAAUUUUGUGAAACUGAUCAAUGGCAAUUUGAAGUGUUA